GAGGGUAUAGCUCAGUGGUAGAGUAUGUGCUUAGCAUGCAUGAGGUCCCUGGGUUCAAUCCCCAGUACCGCCA
rnacentral:tRNA from 1 species